GGCCAUCAUGAGCAUUUACUUCUGACACUUCUUGUAUGAGAAUGAACUUGCCCUGUUAUCCCUUCCAUGAGCAGAUUAGCAACCCUCUGAGCU